GGGCCGCGCUGACUGCUGCCUGUCGCCGCUGCCCGCGGCCGCACAAGGCUGCACUGUUGGGAGAAGAACAAAACCUUUGUCCUGCUCCAUCAAGGAAGCUGAGUCAGAACAGCUGCUUCAAAAAAGAUCUGAAGAGGUUUUGGAAGCAGUUAGAAGGGGAAGCAGGAAAGCCUGAGGCAAGAAAAUGUGCCUUUAUUCUGAAGACCCUCAAAAUGCCUUCAGAGUACUACUUGUUUGUGGAAGAAUUUUGCAAGAGCCCUGGCACCGCUUGGGUUAUGAACCUGCAGGUCUGGCGAGGAGGCUGGGACAGGAGGAUUUGCCUUACCCUUGUGAGAAGUGACUGGGAGGUUGGCAAGUCACAAGGUGAGGAAAUGUUCCUGAAAACUGAAGGAUAUAUAAUUGAUUGAAGAAGGUUGAAAGUUUGAAGUAAGAGUUUAUGUUCUAGCGACAACUGUAAGUGCAAACCGCCAUUAUUAUACCAAUAAUGGAUUUCCUUCACUUAAUGCCCAGUUUCCUCUUCUCCCAGUACAUUCCUCUGAAGGCCUGUUUGGACUGAGGUGGAUUUGCUUGUUUUUCUAAUGCAGGAUUUACUCAGAAUAGCAGGGGUGAUGGCUGUAUCCUGCCUGUCUGUGCCAUACAGAAGGGUAAGAGAAGGACUAUAUAGUUCUGCUGCCUGGUAUUAGAUACAUCAGAUGAACCUUGUCACUUCCAGCUCCUGCAAACACCUACAGGACUCGGCUGUCCCGUCGCUGCUGUUGUCAGCCUGUCUCUCCCCAGUCCUUUUUCAUUGGAAAACUGGUGUCACCAGAUCACUGGAAAUGCCAGUUUGACAAAUCAGCUCG